AAUGGAGAUGAAAAAGAUAGAGAGAAUCACCUUAAAGUUUCUCAGAAAAAAGACAGAAAUUGAAUGAUUGAGAGACGGAUAAGUUGUGCUCUGUCUGAAGACCAUAGUAGAGUUUGUGGGUGUGGUCUUAGACAAGACAUGAGGAAAUUGGGCUUUCAAAAUGAGAUGAGAAUAUGAGCAUACUGAAGUCGAGACAUGGGUCAAAGCUGUUAGGCCCAAUCAUCAUCUUUCUCAAGUUUAUUAAGAAGAGAGAAUAUGUGGUCGUCUUCUUCAUUCCGCUGCGAAACAAAAUCAUCACCUGUAACAACAGAGAGAAAACAGAUUUAGAGAGAGAAAGCUAAAGAUCAAUGUAUUAGGGAUAAAGUAUCUACAUCGGGAAUUUAAAGGAAAUUUAAUUAAUACUCUAUAUGUUUCUUAAUAAAUGUCAAUUUGACAUUUUUCACACAAAUUAAUAAAUUGAUUAAAA
rnacentral:lncRNA from 1 species